rnacentral:lncRNA from 1 species
UUAAUGGUGCUUUUACAAUGGGUUUCAGGUUUAAUCUAAUCAAAUAUGGUUCUAUGGGUUCACUAGAUUAUGUCGGUUCUUCUAUCUGUCGAACUUCAUAAGUUCUAUAUUAAAGGCAUCAGUACCUUCACCAAGAUACUCUUUUUCUGAAAGGAAUGCCGAACAACUCUUAUUCUUUAGCAUGAUUGAAAUUAUAUCCCCUAGA